rnacentral:rRNA from 1 species
UAUUGAGAGUUUGAUCCUGGCUCAGAACGAACGCUAGCGGCAGGUUUUAGGCAUGCAAGUCGAACGAGUAUUUAUACUAGUGGCGCACGAGUGAGUAACACGUGGGAACCUACCUUUCACUAAGGAAUAACUAUUAGAAAUGAUAGCUAAUACCUUAUACGCUCUACGGAGGAAAGAUUUAUCGGUGAUUGAUGGGCCCGCGCUAGAUUAGCUAGUUGGUAAGGUAAUGGCUUACCAAGGCGAUGAUCUAUAGCUGGUCUGAGAGGAUGAUCAGCCACGCUGACACUGAGAUACGGGUCAGACUCCUACGGGAGGCAGCAGCUAAGAAUUUUGGACAAUGGGGGAAACCCUGAUCCAGCCAUGCCGCGUGAAUGAUGACGGUUCUAGGAUUGUAAAGUUCUUUAGGUGGGGAAGAUAAUGACGGUACCCACAGAAUAAGCCCCGGCUAACUUCGUGCCAGCAGCCGCGGUAAUACGAAGGGGGCGAGCGUUGUUCGGAUUUAUUGGGCGUAAAGCAUUCGUAGGUGGUUUUUUAAGUGAGUAGUGAAAGCCUAGGGCUCAACCCUAGAACUGCUGCUCAAACUGAAUUACUAGAGCACAACAGAGAAGGGCGGAAUUUCAAGUGUAGGAGUAGAAUCCUUAGAUAUUUGAAGGAACACCAGUUGCGAAAGCGGCUCUUUGGGUUGUUGCUGACACUGAGGGAUGAUAGCGUGGGGAGCAAACAGGAUUAGAUACCCUGGUAGUCCACGCCGUAAACGAUGUAUACUUGCUGUUGGGCUUCUUCGGAGGCUUUGUGGCGUAGCUAACGCGUUAAGUAUACCGCCUGGGGAGUACGGUCGCAAGAUUAAAACUUAAAGGAAUUGACGGGGACCCGCACAAGCGGUGGAGUAUGUUGUUUAAUUCGAUACAACGCGAAAAACCUUACCAAUUCUUGACAUGUAUGCUGCGAAUUUCGGAAUCGAAGUUUUCAUUUAGUUGGGCAUACACAGAUGUUGCAUGGCUGUCGUCAGUUCGUGUCGUGAGAUGUUGGGUUAAGUCCUUAAACGAACGCAACCCCUACCAUUUGUUACUAACGCUUCGGGCGAGGACUCUAAUGGGACUGCCGGUGUUAAACCGGAGGAAGGUGGGGACGAUGUCAAGUCAUCAUGACUCUUACGAAUUGGGCUACAAACGUACUACAAUGGUGUUCACAACGGGUUGCUACCUCGCAAGGGGAUGCUAAUCUCUAAAAGACACCCCAGUUCAGAUUGUCCUCUGCAACUUGAGGGCAUGAAGUUGGAAUCGCUAGUAAUCGCAGAUCAGAAUGCUGCGGUGAAUCCGUUCUCGGGUCUUGUACACACCGCCUGUCAAGCCAUGAAAGUCGGUUUUUCCCAAAAGCAGUUGCUUAACCUUCGGGAUGGCGCUGUCUACGGAACGGCUGGUGAUUGGGGCUAAGUCAUAACAAGGUAGCCGUACGUGAACGUGCGGCUGGAUCACCUCCUUU